GAUGAACGCUGGCGGCGUGCCUAAUACAUGCAAGUCGAGCGAACGGACGAGAAGCUUGCUUCUCUGAUGUUAGCGGCGGACGGGUGAGUAACACGUGGAUAACCUACCUAUAAGACUGGGAUAAAUUCGGGAAACCGGAGCUAAUACCGGAUGAUAUUUUGAACCGCAUGGUUCAAAAGUGAAAGACGGUCUUGCUGUCACUUAUAGAUGGAUCCGCGCUGCAUUAGCUAGUUGGUAAGGUAACGGCUUACCAAGGCAACGAUGCAUAGCCGACCUGAGAGGGUGAUCGGCCACACUGGAACUGAGACACGGUCCAGACUCCUACGGGAGGCAGCAGUAGGGAAUCUUCCGCAAUGGGCGAAAGCCUGACGGAGCAACGCCGCGUGAGUGAUGAAGGUCUUCGGAUCGUAAAACUCUGUUAUUAGGGAAGAACAUAUGUGUAAGUAACUGUGCACAUCUUGACGGUACCUAAUCAGAAAGCCACGGCUAACUACGUG
rnacentral:rRNA from 1 species